rnacentral:rRNA from 1 species
CUACGGAGGGUGCAAGCGUUAAUCGGAAUUACUGGGCGUAAAGCGCGCGUAGGCGGUUAUUUAAGUCAGAUGUGAAAUCCCUGGGCUCAACCUAGGAACUGCAUCUGAUACUGGGUAACUAGAGUUUUGGAGAGGUAAGUGGAAUUUCCGGUGUAGCGGUGAAAUGCAUAGAGAUCGGAAGGAACACCAGUGGCGAAGGCGACUUACUGGCCAAAAACUGACGCUGAGGUGCGAAAGCGUGGGUAGCAAACAGGAUGAGAUACCCUAGUAGUCC